rnacentral:rRNA from 1 species
GACGAACGCUGGCGGCGUGCCUAAUACAUGUAAGUAGAACGCACAGUUUAUACCGUGGCUUGCUACACCAUAGACUGUGAGUUGCGAACGGGUGAGUAACGCGUAGGUAACCUGCCUGGUAGCGGGGGAUAACUAUUGGAAACGAUAGCUAAUACCGCAUAAUAUUAAUUAUUGCAUGAUAAUUGAUUGAAAGAUGCAACUGCAUCACUACCAGAUGGACCUGCGUUGUAUUAGCUAGUAGGUGAGGUAACGGCUCACCUAGGCGACGAUACAUAGCCGACCUGAGAGGGUGAUCGGCCACACUGGGACUGAGACACGGCCCAGACUCCUACGGGAGGCAGCAGUAGGGAAUCUUCGGCAAUGGACGAAAGUCUGACCGAGCAACGCCGCGUGAGUGAAGAAGGUUUUCGGAUCGUAAAGCUCUGUUGUAAGAGAAGAACGGGUGUGAGAGUGGAAAGUUCACACUGUGACGGUAUCUUACCAGAAAGGGACGGCUAACUACGUG